UACGAAGGGGGCGAGCGUUGUUCGGAUUUACUGGGCGUAAAGGGCGCGCAGGCGGCUUAUUUUGUCAGGCGUGAAAGCCCCGGGCUUAACCUGGGAACUGCGUUUGAUACGGAUGGGCUAGAGUUCGGGAGAGGAGAGUGGAAUUCCCAGUGUAGAGGUGAAAUGCGUAGAUAUCUGGAGGAACACCGGUGGCGAAGGCGACAUCCUGGACCGGUAUUGACGCUGAGGCGCGAAAGCCAGGGGAGCAAACGGG
rnacentral:rRNA from 1 species